rnacentral:misc_RNA from 1 species
GGAUGAAGAACGUAGCGAAAUGCGAUACUUGGUGUGAAUUGCAGAAUCCCGUGAACCAUCGAGUCUUUGAACGCAAGUUGCGCCCGAAGCCAUCAGGUUGAGGGCACGUCUGCCUGGGCGUCACAUAUCGUUGCCCAAUGCCUAUUGCAGUGCAAUAGGAAUUUCUAGGGCGAAUGAUGGCUUCCCGUGAGCGUUGUUGCCUCGCGGUUGGUUGAAAAUCGAGUCCUUGGUAGGGUGUGCCAUGGUAGAUGGUGGUCAAGUUAGAACGAUACCGAUCAUGUGCAUGCUCCCCAAAAUAUGGCCUCUAUGACCCACACGCGUCUUUUGACGCUCAUGACGAGACCUCAGGUCAGGCGGGGCUACCCGCUGAAUUUAAGCAUAUCAAUAAGCGGAGGA